CUUGGCAAAACAUGGCAAAAUCGGUGCUCAGACAAUCCAGGAUUUUUUGGAAAGGGUAGGAGAUAAUUUUCUGCUGCAAGUGCUGGAGGAACCAACUAGGGGCAGAGCUCUUCUUGACCUGCUGCUCACAAACCGGGAAGAAUUAGUAGGGGAAGCAAAAGUGGAUGGGAAUCUGGGAGGCAGUGAC